GGGUCCAAAAAUCAGUCAGUAUAUGAUGUGACCACCAUUUGUCUCACACAGUGCAACACAUUUCCUUCGCAUAGAGUUGAUCAGGUUGUUGAUUGUGGCCUGUGGAGUGUUGGUCCACUCCUCUUCAAUGGUUGUGCAAAGUUGCUGGAUAUUGGCAGGACCUGGAACACGCUGCCGUAUACGCCGAUCAAGAGCAUCCCAAACACGCUCAAUGGGUGGCAUAUCCAGUGAGUAUGCUGGCCAUGCAUGAACUGGGAUGUUUUCAGCUUCCAGGAAUUGUGUACAGAUCCUUGCAACAUGAGGUAAUGCAUUAUCAUGCUGCAACAUGAGGUGAUGGUCGUGGAUGAAUGGCACAACAAUGGGCCUCAGUAACUCGUCACGGUAUCUCUGUGCAUUCAAAAUGUCAUCAAUAAAAUGCACCUGGAUUCAUUGUCCAUAACAUACGCCUUCCCAUACCAUAACCCCACUGCCACCAAGGGCCACUCAAUCCACAACGUUGAUGUCAGCAAGCCGAUCACCCACACAACACCAUACAUGCUGUCUGCCAUCUGCCUGUACAGUGAAAACACAGAUUAAUCCGUGAGGAGAACACCUCUCCAAAGUGCCAGACACCAUCGAAUGUGAGAAUUCGGUUAUGACGACAAACUGCAGUCAGGUAAAGACCCCGAUGAAGACAACGAGCAUGCAGAUGAGCUUCUCUGAGACGGUUUCUGACAGUUUGUGCAGACAUUCUUUGGUUAUGCAAACCGAUUGUUGCGGCAGCUGUCUGGGUGGCUGGUCUCAGACGAUCUUGGAGGUGAAGAUGCUGGAUGUGGAGGUCCUGUGCUGGUGUGGUUACACAUGGUCUGUGGUUGUGAGGCCAGUUGGAUGUAAUGCCAAAUUCUGUGAAACACCUUUGGAGAUGGCUUAUGGUAGAGAAAUGAACAUUCAAUUCACGGCAACAGCUUUGGUGGGCAUUCCAGCAGUCAGCAUGCCAAUUGCACGCUCCCUCAAAACUUGCAACAUCUGUGGCAUUGUGCUGUGUGAUAAAACUGCACAUUUUAG